UGGCGCGGGAGGACGGUUAUCGCUUCCAUUGUUUGAAGUGAGGAAGGUCCACCCACCACUAAAAACAAUCAGUCAUGAGGACAUGGACUUCGAAGGAAGUGGCUCUGGAGCAGAAACGAGACCUCUCGCAUUGAAACUAUAUGAUGUGCGGUUUGAGGAUGAAACGGCCAACCCUGAUGGUGCAAGUCGCGCUCACGAACCGAAAACAAACGUUAACGGUUCUUUUUGAGCAUCAAAAGACGCAUAGACAAAUACCGUCGAGAUAACAGAAGGUGGACUACUACCCGACCA
rnacentral:RNase_P_RNA from 1 species